rfam:Schistosoma curassoni strain Dakar, Senegal genome assembly, scaffold: SCTD_scaffold0007151
AUCCAAAUGAAGAGUCUCAAAUAAGACAAAAGGUGCGUCCUGAAU